rnacentral:lncRNA from 1 species
GCCUCCAGUCAAACCGACUGACUGCUAGCCUGUUCAUAAAAAAGUAAGAGUCCAUGCAGGAAAGGAUAAAGUUUAUUAUUGUUUUGAUUCAAAAAAAGAUCGCAUGGCAUGCGGUGGGACAUGGUGAGAUGCAUGCAGGAACGGUGCCGCUUGGGACUCUGGAGUUGAGAGGGAAAGGGCAUGUCCAUUAAACAAAAAUGCGUAUUUCCUUCUAAGGUUGCAAACAUGAGGGUGAGUACAUUUAAAUAGCACAUGUUGCUCAUCCUGAGCGUCAUCGUGAGCAUCACACAGA